AGAGUUUGAUCAUGGCUCAGGACGAACGCUGGCGGCGUGCUUAACACAUGCAAGUCGAGCGAUGAAACUACUUCGGUAGUGAAUUAGCGGCGAACGGGUGAGGAACACGUGAGGAAUCUGCCUUCAACACUGGGAUAACUCCGGGAAACCGGGGCUAAUACCGGAUACGAGCCUUGAUCGCAUGAUCGAGGCUGGAAAGUUUUUCGGUUGAAGAUGACCUCGCGGCCUAUCAGCUUGUUGGUGAGGUAAUGGCUCACCAAGGCGACGACGGGUAGCCGGCCUGAGAGGGCGACCGGCCACACUGGGACUGAGACACGGCCCAGACUCCUACGGGAGGCAGCAGUGGGGAAUAUUGGGCAAUGGAGGAAACUCUGACCCAGCGACGCCGCGUGCGGGAUGAAGGCCUUCGGGUUGUAAACCGCUUUCAGUAGGGAAGAAGCGAAAGUGACGGUACCUACAGAAGAAGCACCGGCUAACUAUGUGCCAGCAGCCGCGGUAAUACAUAGGGUGCAAGCGUUGUCCGGAAUUAUUGGGCGUAAAGAGCUCGUAGGUGGUUUGAUACGUCGGGUGUGAAAUUCAGGGGCUCAACCCCUGACCUGCAUUCGAUACGGUCAAGCUAGAGUUUGGUAGGGGAGACUGGAAUUCC
rnacentral:rRNA from 1 species